UGCUUUUUUGGCUUUUUUGUGACGUAUGAAAUGUUUAUUCCAACUUCUGACAUCACGAUCUUUCUGUCAUUAUUGCUGCCUCCACAGGUUCACGUGAUAUAGCCCGCUAAAUUAUACAGCUGCAUUAAGAUAGCGAUGGAGGAUAUUUGUGAUGUAGCGUUUUUCACUUGCGAGGUGAAGGGAGUGAGUUCUAUGAGCAACAAGGUCGAAGGCUAGGCAAUGCUGAUGUCCUCUUUGAGCCUGAACCAACGAACCAGCAAGAUCGUAAUGCUGUGCUGUGUUUCACCCGAAUCAGUGGUUUCAGUGGUUCCAGAGUCGUUCUCGGGCAUGUUGCUGCUGAGGCUGCUAGGUGGCUCUCUCCACUGCUUCUCGGACCUUUCUCUGCAGCUGGGAUGGUGCUAUUCGACGAACACUCCACUAGUUCUACUAGUCGGAGUUGGCGGUACAGGGCUAUCACAGUAUCCGUCUCCAUCGUUGGCCCACUCAGUAAGGAGUUUAAGGUCCGAGAUGCCUUGGUGGGAGCUGCCAGUGACCUCGACGGCCUCAUCUUGGGGAACGACGAUGGCCUUGGAGACAGGAGACUAGAGCGGAGGUCCUAAAUCCGCUACCCCGGCUUUUUUAAAAGCCACCAAGUUUCCAAAUGAGUUGCCUUGUACUAUACACACAGUACUACUGUUAUCAUAAUUCAAAGGUGUUGCUUACCUAAGUACAUGUGUACAUGCAAUUACACUAUUAUUAUUGCACACUAACAUACAC